rnacentral:sRNA from 1 species
UCUUGAUAAAUCAUACCUACCUGACGUC